rnacentral:rRNA from 1 species
GGAGAGUUUGAUCCUGGCUCAGAGUGAACGCUGGCGGCGUGCCUAAUACAUGCAAGUCGAACGAUGAAGUCUCUAGCUUGCUAGAGAUGGAUUAGUGGCGCACGGGUGAGUAAUGCAUAGGUAACAUGCCCUUUAGUCUAGGAUAGCCACUGGAAACGGUGAUUAAUACUGGAUAUUCCCUAUGGGGGAAAGAGGCUUUCAGUUAAGAAUUCAUCUUGUGGCAGAUUUUGAGAGAGUGAGAACAUUGCUUCAGUGCGGCGUAUGCCAAAUAUGUCUCAUUUGCAAUGCCCUCACAACUUUCAAAAUCUCCUCAAAAUCCUGCAAUUCUCGCACACGAUUAGGUUGUGCGAAAAUUCUAGGAUUUAUCGUCCAAAGCCGAAUUUUUAACUGAAAGCUUUCGCUAAAGGAUUGGCCUAUGUCCUAUCAGCUUGUUGGUGAGGUAAUGGCUCACCAAGGCUAUGACGGGUAUCCGGCCUGAGAGGGUGAACGGACACACUGGAACUGAGACACGGUCCAGACUCCUACGGGAGGCAGCAGUAGGGAAUAUUGCUCAAUGGGGGAAACCCUGAAGCAGCAACGCCGCGUGGAGGAUGAAGGUUUUCGGAUUGUAAACUCCUUUUGUUAGAGAAGAUAAUGACGGUAUCUAACGAAUAAGCACCGGCUAACUCCGUGCCAGCAGCCGCGGUAAUACGGAGGGUGCAAGCGUUACUCGGAAUCACUGGGCGUAAAGAGUGCGUAGGCGGGGUCAUAAGUCAGAUGUGAAAUCCUAUGGCUUAACCAUAGAACUGCAUUUGAAACUGUGACUCUAGAGUAUGGGAGAGGUAGGUGGAAUUCUUGGUGUAGGGGUAAAAUCCGUAGAGAUCAAGAGGAAUACUCAUUGCGAAGGCGACCUACUGGAACAUUACUGACGCUGAUGCACGAAAGCGUGGGGAGCAAACAGGAUUAGAUACCCUGGUAGUCCACGCCCUAAACGAUGAAUGCUAGUUGUUGCCCUGCUUGUCAGGGCAGUAAUGCAGCUAACGCAUUAAGCAUUCCGCCUGGGGAGUACGGUCGCAAGAUUAAAACUCAAAGGAAUAGACGGGGACCCGCACAAGCGGUGGAGCAUGUGGUUUAAUUCGAAGAUACGCGAAGAACCUUACCUAGGCUUGACAUUGAUAGAAUCUGCUAGAGAUAGCGGAGUGCCCUUUUAGGGAGCUUGAAAACAGGUGCUGCACGGCUGUCGUCAGCUCGUGUCGUGAGAUGUUGGGUUAAGUCCCGCAACGAGCGCAACCCUCGUCCUUAGUUGCUAGCAGCUUGGCUGAGCACUCUAAGGAGACUGCCUUCGUAAGGAGGAGGAAGGUGAGGACGACGUCAAGUCAUCAUGGCCCUUACGCCUAGGGCUACACACGUGCUACAAUGGGGUGCACAAAGAGGAGCAAUACCGCGAGGUGGAGCAAAUCUCUAAAACAUCUCUCAGUUCGGAUUGUAGUCUGCAACUCGACUACAUGAAGCUGGAAUCGCUAGUAAUCGCAAAUCAGCCAUGUUGCGGUGAAUACGUUCCCGGGUCUUGUACUCACCGCCCGUCACACCAUGGGAGUUGUAUUCGCCUUAAGUCGGGAUACUAAAUAGGUUACCGCCCACGGCGGAUGCAGCGACUGGGGUGAAGUCGUAACAAGGUAACCGUAGGUGAACCUGCGGUUGGAUCACCUCCUUUC